UAUAGAAAGAAAUCCAAUAUGGUUGAAAUGAGUGACAUCAAGCUACUCCCAACAAAAGACCAAGUGGAAUUUGAAAGUCGUCCUGAUGACGGUACAGUGCAGCCUAAUCGACAAUGGGAAACGGAUACUUUAAAACCUGGGGACGGACCCAAACGAACAUCUGCAUGCUUGAAGAAUGUGAAAAAAAUCUUAAAAGCAUUUGACUUUACUCUGUUCAAAAGCCAUUGUUUCUGCUUAUCGUUGCUUUUUGUCAUUUUGCGGUACCUGUGAAACAGGUUUCAACGUAUCUUCCUGCACGGUUAAAUGAAAUGGGAUACAGUCAAUCUGAGGCAGCAUUUCUUUUGCUGAUCUCAGAAUUCUCGACUUUAUCAGCAGGAUUUUAUACGGAUUUUAGCUGAUCUGAAAUAUCUUCGUGUCAGUCAGAUAAUGGCCAUUGGUCUCUUGGUCUCGGGGCUGUCAUCUCAAUUUAUAAUUUAUUACACAACAUAUCCAUUAAUUGUGACCUACUGUGUGGUGAUUGGCAUCUUCGGAAGUGCAUAUCAGUGCCUAAUACCAGUGAUGGUGGUUGAUUUUCAUGGGAGUCGACUACAUGGCAAAGACUAUUGGAUUUACAGCUUUGUUCCAGGGAUUUGCUAUUUCAUUAACACACCCCAUCACAGGAAGUAUACGUGACUUGAGUGGAUCAUACGUAGCUUGUUUUCACUAUCUGGGAUCAACUGCGUUCUUUGCUGCAGGACUGUUGCUGUGUGAACCCGUAGUGAGACGAUAUGAAUCCAGAAGAAAGAGUCAUCCACGAACAGAGAACGAUGAGUCGACAAUACCACUGAAAUGAACCAAAUGCUGUCAUAAAUGUGCAUUAGAAAGUU